ensembl:misc_RNA Y_RNA Y RNA
GGCUGUCUGAGUCCAGUGGUGUUUACAACUAAUGUCACAACCAGUUAGAGCUUUAUUUGUUCUUUCUCCACUCCAGCUGCUUCAUUUGACUAGCAAAA